CCUACGGGAUGCACCAGUGGGGAAUAUUGCACAAUGGGCGCAAGCCUGAUGCAGCCAUGCCGCGUGUAUGAAGAAGGCCCUAGGGUUGUAAAGUACUUUCAGUCGGGAGGAAGGCGUUGAUGCUAAUAUCAUCAGCGAUUGACGUUACCGACAGAAGAAGCACCGGCUAACUCCGUGCCAGCAGCCGCGGUAAUACGGAGGGUGCAAGCGUUAAUCGGAAUUACUGGGCGUAAAGCGCACGCAGGCGGUUGAUUAAGUUAGAUGUGAAAUCCCCGGGCUUAACCUGGGAAUGGCAUCUAAGACUGGUCAGCUAGAGUCUUGUAGAGGGGGGUAGAAUUCCAUGUGUAGCGGUGAAAUGCGUAGAGAUGUGGAGGAAUACCGGUGGCGAAGGCGGCCCCCUGGACAAAGACUGACGCUCAGGUGCGAAAGCGUGGGGAGCAAACAGGAUUAGAUACC
rnacentral:rRNA from 1 species